ACCUUACAUAAAGAUUAUUUAAUUGAAAGAAGUUAUUUGGUCAAUCGGACCACGAAAUGUAAUGGAUUACUGACAUUGUCAAACUGUUCACGAGUCUUAAAAGUUGGAUUUUCGAUUGCUGUUUUCCUGUUUGAGUGGAAUCAAUCAGCCAAGAACUAUCGCAAAAAUAGCGAUCAUAACGGAUUCAAAAUUGGUUGGUGAAUGCACGGUGGUUAUAUGGGGCUUAGUGGUCUGCACCGCGGGAGAGGCGCCGAAUUCAAAGUUCCUAACUCUUAAGGAAAAAAGGGCCCCUAUAGCCGUGGGGUCACCGCAGAAAUCUCCAGGAGGCUACUUUUCCAACGGAUACACCGAGAACAGAAGUCAGCUGGACCAAACAAAGUAUACAGACAGAGUUACUUACAAAGCCCCAUCAAACAGUUUUGUACCUGUAAAUCCAUACCAAGGGGCUAAUGGAUACAACACGCCAGUUCAAACAUAUCCAUACAGCUUGACUUCAAAUCUGUUCAGCGCACCCAAUGUCGGCUUGCCUACACCUUCGUCAGGAGAUUUUUCAAGCCUGUACCAACUGUCUUCUUCUCCAUUCAAUUUUUAUACGCCGCAGUUUGAUUUCAACGUGCCGGUUCCUUCACUAAACGGUGGCAGUUACCCUUCAGCAUCCGUCAUGCUUCCUAGCGUAACAAAACUCGGUCCAGUGACUUUCGGUGUUGGCCAUGGUGGAUUAGCUGACACUUCUAGAUAGUUAAACACAACGUUCUUAAUCAUAAGGUAGUUGAUUUGUCCUGUGCCAUCGUGUAACACCUCAUUCUAAAAGAGGAGAUACAACCUUGUUAUUUUUGGGUCAAUUUCAUCGAAGAUCCAUCAGGGGUUGAACACCUGUAACCUGAUCCCAUUUGUCCUAAUUCUUAUUAUAUUUAUUGUACAUAUAUUAUGUAGUGUAUAUUUCUUCUGUGAAUCCAAAUCUGAUAUUAAGUAUUUAAUUAACAAAUAUAAUGUA